rnacentral:rRNA from 1 species
GACGAACGCUGGCGGCGUGCCUAAUACAUGCAAGUAGAACGCACUUGCGAACGGGUGAGUACCGCGUAGGUAACUGCCUCAUAGCGUGGGAUAACUAUUGGAAACGAUAGCUAAUAUCGCAUACUGUGAGAUGGACCUGCGUUUUAUUAGCUAGUUGGUGAGGUAAAGGCUCACCAAGGCGUCGGUACAUAGCCGACCUGAGAGGGUGGUCGGGCACACUUGGACCGAGACACGGCCCAGACUCCGUCGGGGGGCAGCAGUAGGGAAGCUUCGGCAAAGGGCGGAAGUCUGAACGAACAACUCCGCGUGAGUUAAGAAGGGUUUCGGGUCGUAAAGCUCUGUUAUUAGAGAAGCGGUAACUAAACAGAAAGGGACGGCUAACUACGUGCCAGCAGCCGCGGUAAUAC